GCGAGCUGGACGGUGGACGGAGCUAGGUGGGCGGUGCGUGGCGCUCCCGCAAUCUCAGGAUACCCUGGCUGCUGGCGGGGCUACGGUGCUGGCUCGGGGUGAGUAAAAACAAAAUCAACGGCCAAAUGACUCAACUGCGAUUGUGCCAGUGAGAACCUCAGGAGCCUAGCAGAAGAUAACGCUGGGAAGGGUUCAAGGAGCUAAGCCGAGAGUUUUGGCUGCCCACCACAGACAGAGCCAGCUCUGGCCUGCUCUAUCUCUCAUUACUGUGAUGACGGCUGUAUCCAGAUGCUAAACACUCCAGAGACACUCCAAUGCAGUGCUAAAGACUCAAAACACUUCAUCCCCAAAGAAUGUAGCAUUCCAGGAGAAAACAGGCCUCCUUCUGACACUGGUAAAACUGUGAAGGUGUGUGAUAAAUCAGGGAUCAAAAUGAGAGGCCACAGAUUCUCUGCCCCUUACAGUGAAUCCUGCUCUUCUCUUUUCAAUGGAGUAACAGUCAUAUUUAAAAAAAAAAAAAAAAGUUUGUACAGACACACUAAUGGAAACAAUGACAAAAUAUAUUCAAACAUAAAGUGUUACAAUAGCUAGAGGCUGUUCUAGAUGGGAAUCAAAGAAUAAAUAGCUGGAGAUGUAACUAAGGAUAAAAACAUAUGAAACGUCUUGGGCUAUUUGAGGGGAUUAGUUUUGAGAGGGUGGGCAGGAAUAGUUUGUCCUUGGGGCAAUGGUUGCUUCCAUUUUCUUUCCUUCUGUUUUUCCUUGUUUUUCUUCCUUCUUUUCUCCCUCCCUUUCUCC
rnacentral:lncRNA from 1 species